ACGUAAAAUGAGGAAUAAAUCACUGGCCAUUGAUCCUUGACCUUUUAAGGUUAAAUUGACUUGGAGCACAUAAAAUAAUCUAUUUUAAGAAAAUAGAAUUGUUCUAAACAAAUUCAAUUUCAUAAACCAAAGAAGGCCACUACAACUCGGGAAUUCACAUCUGUCAGUUCUCCACGCCUGCAAAUGGUGCUUUCAAAAACCUGAAAACAACUGUUGCAGAUUGCCUCAUUGAAUCAUUAAUCUUAAGACCCAUUGAUGAAAACGAUGAAUCAGCACUUAACUCAACUAAUUCCUGGUAGCAGCCCUCGCCCGUCUCUGCUAUCAAAGUAAGCGCCACUUUUUCUAAGGUUGUGAAAUUAGACAGAUCAUCAAGAUCGUUACUUUCUGACAACGGUUGCUGGCCUCUGUUCCCGAUUUGAGUUUUCAGAUUUGGCAGAUACAUAACCCAAUUCACUAAGCCAUCCAAAGAAUCAUUAAGGCACCAUCUCUGAUGUGCAAUUUAGCUGGUGCCUGCUUCAUGUAAUAAAUUGCGAUUCUACUCAGAAACAUUGCCGUGCACAAACCCCAGUAACUAUCAUCUUUGAAGGAUAAGUAUAGCACGCGUGUGUACGCGAACAGUACGCAUAUAGUGUCUAUGAUUCUCUUGGCGUUUUGACUACCAUCACACACAAAUUGAUUAAAAGCAAGAGCUGUAAAUUACAUCCUGACCAGUCCCAGUGACCUUGUAGUGUCUUACUUAUCGGCGUAAAGAGAAUACCUACCUCCUUAUCAAGCAUUAACACACAAAUGUGGAAAACGCCUAUAAGCUCUUCUCCCUGACCAUUCAAUGUUAGUUGCUCAAAUACAUUACAGUAACUCAUUUCUUCAUAAAUAAGACGCAAGGAAGAGCGCAGUCAGGUCCUCCUAGGACUUUUUGUGAAGAAAGAAGUUAUUCAAGUUUUGGGCUGAAUAUCUCUCCAUUUUUCCUCUUAGUAAGCAAACCCCCGUCCACCUACUCCCAUAUAGGCAUCAUUCCUUUCUAAAGCAGUUAAUUCAUUUUCAUUAAAAGUAGGCAUUCGUUCAACAUGCAUUUCCAGGCUACCCAAAUCUACAUCGUCUUGAGAGGCCCUCAAUUUAUGUCUUGCAAAACGCCAUCUCAAAAGGCGCCUCAAAAUACCUUAGUAAAGUUGACGUCGGGAAUAUCUUGACACAUCUCCUUCACUAUUUCUAGCACCGCAUAAAGAAGUAAAGGCAGAGGAUUGAGUGUCGAUGCUUUAAGAUAAAGGCAUUCAUGCGUUUGUUUAACAAGGCUUUCUCUCUUGGAUGCUUAAAUGUUCUUAAAAGUUUCCUUGUGAACUAAAGGGAUCAUCUUCAUUGAAUCCAUUAAUCUCAAGGAGGCAUAUAUCAAAUUCAUAUUCUUCUCGGACUUCAAUUCCUUUCACGCUAACCGAUAUGCAGAUGACACAAGCAUGUCUGUGUUUACCUUUUCUUGCUAGCAAACUUUCCAGUACCAAUCGACUUAACAAUUGCCGUCGAUGUUGAAAGUAACCCUGGUCUUGUCCGAUAUACGUGGGCUCAAAUAACUUAGCCCAGGACUUCACCGAGCGAAGCUAAUUGCACCUUCAAGCCAAAUUUAGCUCAACGUGGCAAGCAUUAUUCCGAGUAUGCUAAUUACCCAGGGCAAUUUGUUUAUUCAAGAAGCCAACUUCUCUUUAUAUACUUCUCUUGUAGGAAAAUAAAGCCUGGAGGCAACAUCAUAGGUAAACUGAAACAGCUGAAGUCUUUUAAAAUAUCGUGGAAAUCGUGCUGUCCGUGGUAGCAGAUCUAGCUAUAGAAUUCCAACUGUUGCACCUCAAGACCGAAAAAAUUGUAAUCUUUGAAGUAGCGGUCGCUAUCGUACACUCACUGUUGUGGAUUUAGCCGACAAGCCUGGACUGUCUGCUUCUGAAAUUAUCCCAAUGUGUAUGGUAAUUAAUACCAGAUACGGCUUCAGCUUUUCUUGCAGAGCUCCACUCUAAUAAUAUCGAUAUCUGCUUUGCC